CCCCUGUUUACUUGAUAAGAUUAAGCUGUUGUCUCUAGGUUGGUUGAAAGCUAAAAAAGCUACCUUUGUUUUUGGGACUCAGCAGUGGUGGUCAAGCCCUCUUGUUUGUUUGGGUAUUGGCUAAGGUUUUUCUGUUGUGUUUUGUAUGUAAUCGUUGUAACUCUUGGUUUCUGAGGUAGUCUCUAAAGGCACACCUUGUGC
rnacentral:lncRNA from 1 species